CAGUCGCCGCGGUAAUACAUAGGGUGCGAGCGUUAAUCGGAAUUACUGGGCGUAAAGCGUGCGCAGGCGGUUUUGUAAGACAGGCGUGAAAUCCCCGGGCUCAACCUGGGAAUGGCGCUUGUGACUGCAAAGCUAGAGUGCGGCAGAGGGGGAUGGAAUUCCGCGUGUAGCAGUGAAAUGCGUAGAUAUGCGGAGGGACACCGAUGGCGAAGGCAAUCCCCUGGGCCUGCACUGACGCUCAUGCACGAAAGCGUGGGGAGCAAACAGGAUUAGAGACCCCCGUAGUCCCUGUCUCUUAUAC
rnacentral:rRNA from 1 species